rnacentral:rRNA from 1 species
GAACGCCGGCGGUGUGCCUAAUACAUGCAAGUCGUACGCACUGGCCCAACUGAUUGAUGGUGCUUGCACCUGAUUGACGAUGGAUCACCAGUGAGUGGCGGACGGGUGAGUAACACGUAGGUAACCUGCCCCGGAGCGGGGGAUAACAUUUGGAAACAGAUGCUAAUACCGCAUAACAACAAAAGCCACAUGGCUUUUGUUUGAAAGAUGGCUUUGGCUAUCACUCUGGGAUGGACCUGCGGUGCAUUAGCUAGUUGGUAAGGUAACGGCUUACCAAGGCGAUGAUGCAUAGCCGAGUUGAGAGACUGAUCGGCCACAAUGGAACUGAGACACGGUCCAUACUCCUACGGGAGGCAGCAGUAGGGAAUCUUCCACAAUGGGCGCAAGCCUGAUGGAGCAACACCGCGUGAGUGAAGAAGGGUUUCGGCUCGUAAAGCUCUGUUGUUGGAGAAGAACGUGCGUGAGAGUAACUGUUCACGCAGUGACGGUAUCCAACCAGAAAGUCACGGCUAACUACGUGCCAGCAGCCGCGGUAAUACGUAGGUGGCAAGCGUUAUCCGGAUUUAUUGGGCGUAAAGCGAGCGCAGGCGGUUGCUUAGGUCUGAUGUGAAAGCCUUCGGCUUAACCGAAGAAGUGCAUCGGAAACCGGGCGACUUGAGUGCAGAAGAGGACAGUGGAACUCCAUGUGUAGCGGUGGAAUGCGUAGAUAUAUGGAAGAACACCAGUGGCGAAGGCGGCUGUCUGGUCUGCAACUGACGCUGAGGCUCGAAAGCAUGGGUAGCGAACAGGAUUAGAUACCCUGGUAGUCCAUGCCGUAAACGAUGAGUGCUAGGUGUUGGAGGGUUUCCGCCCUUCAGUGCCGGAGCUAACGCAUUAAGCACUCCGCCUGGGGAGUACGACCGCAAGGUUGAAACUCAAAGGAAUUGACGGGGGCCCGCACAAGCGGUGGAGCAUGUGGUUUAAUUCGAAGCUACGCGAAGAACCUUACCAGGUCUUGACAUCUUGCGCUAACCUUAGAGAUAAGGCGUUCCCUUCGGGGACGCAAUGACAGGUGGUGCAUGGUCGUCGUCAGCUCGUGUCGUGAGAUGUUGGGUUAAGUCCCGCAACGAGCGCAACCCUUGUUACUAGUUGCCAGCAUUAAGUUGGGCACUCUAGUGAGACUGCCGGUGACAAACCGGAGGAAGGUGGGGACGACGUCAGAUCAUCAUGCCCCUUAUGACCUGGGCUACACACGUGCUACAAUGGACGGUACAACGAGUCGCAAGCUCGCGAGAGUAAGCUAAUCUCUUAAAGCCGUUCUCAGUUCGGACUGUAGGCUGCAACUCGCCUACACGAAGUCGGAAUCGCUAGUAAUCGCGGAUCAGCAUGCCGCGGUGAAUACGUUCCCGGGCCUUGUACACACCGCCCGUCACACCA